GGAGUUUGAUCAUGGCUCAGAUUGAACGCUGGCGGCAGGCUUAACACAUGCAAGUCGAGCGGAAACGAUGGUAGCUUGCUAUCAGGCGUCGAGCGGCGGACGGGUGAGUAACGCGUAGGAACCUACCUAGUAGUUUGGGAUAGCCCAGAGAAAUUUGGAUUAAUACCGGAUACGCCCCACGGGGGAAAGCAGGGGAUCUUCGGACCUUGCGCUAUUAGAUGGGCCUGCGUGAGAUUAGCUAGUUGGUGGGGUAAUGGCCCACCAAGGCGACGAUCUCUAGCUGGUCUGAGAGGAUGAUCAGCCACACUGGAACUGAGACACGGUCCAGACUCCUACGGGAGGCAGCAGUGGGGAAUAUUGCACAAUGGGCGCAAGCCUGAUGCAGCCAUGCCGCGUGUGUGAAGAAGGCUCUAGGGUUGUAAAGCACUUUCAGCAGUGAGGAAAGCUUGUAGAUUAAUACUCUACAAGUGUGACGUUAACUGCAGAAGAAGCACCGGCUAACUCCGUGCCAGCAGCCGCG
rnacentral:rRNA from 1 species